UACUAGCGGUCCAAGUCGCAGCCAUUUUUAUUGGGUCUAAAACAUCCGUAGCUUGCUUGAUAAGUUUCUUGUGAAAUUUUAUGUCUUAAACAUAGAGCGAGCAGGAAGUACUGUCAAGCUAGAGACUGGAAGACGUAGGAAGUAUGUUCAAAGUAGUGGUAAAAUACGUUAAUCUUGAACAGACUCACAAUAGCGAAGGCAUCCUACGAGGACAGUUCUGACAGUAAGGGAUGAAGGCUAGGGGCGCAAAACGGAUUAGAUACCCGCGUA
rnacentral:rRNA from 1 species